rnacentral:rRNA from 1 species
GUGGGGAAUAUUGCACAAUGGGCGCAAGCCUGAUGCAGCAACGCCGCGUGAGGGAUGACGGCCUUCGGGUUGUAAACCUCUUUUAGUAGGGAAGAAGCGAAAGUGACGGUACCUGCAGAAAAAGCACCGGCUAACUACGUGCCAGCAGCCGCGGUAAUACGUAGGGUGCAAGCGUUGUCCGGAAUUAUUGGGCGUAAAGAGCUCGUAGGCGGCUGGUCGCGUCUGCUGUGAAAUCCCGGGGCUCAACCCCGGGCCUGCAGUGGGUACGGGCAGGCUAGAGUGCGGUAGGGGAGAUUGGAAUUCCUGGUGUAGCGGUGGAAUGCGCAGAUAUCAGGAGGAACACCGAUGGCGAAGGCAGAUCUCUGGGCCGCUACUGACGCUGAGGAGCGAAAGCAUGGGGAGCGAACAGGAUUAGAAACCCUGGUAGUCC